UACGAAGGGGGCUAGCGUUGCUCGGAAUCACUGGGCGUAAAGGGUGCGUAGGCGGGUUUUUAAGUCAGAGGUGAAAUCUCCGAGCUUAACUCGGAACUGUCAGCUGAUACUGUUUUGCUAGAGUGCGGAAGGGGCAAUCGGAAUUCUUGGUGUAGCGGUGAAAUGCGUAGAUAUCAAGAGGAACACCUGAGGUGAAGACGGGUUGCUGGGCCGACACUGACGCUGAGUGCGCGAAAGCCAGGGGAGCAAACGGG
rnacentral:rRNA from 1 species